UCUUCUUUCAAGAACUUAAGUCUAUAAUAAUCUAGUGUCUAAUUUAUGCAUAAUUACAUAGAGUAAUAGCAUAAAUUAAUUAUAAUGAUCCUACAAGUCCAGGCUAUUUAAUAAAUCAAGUCAAUUAUUAGCUACUAGCUAAUAAUCCUUUAUAUAUAUUUAUAGGCUUAAAUUAAAAUAACUUAGCUCACUUUAACAAAAUUAAGGGUCCAACUAAAUUAAUAAUAGCACAAUAAUUAAAUUAAGACCAAUUUUAAACCAAAGCCACCACGGCAUUAACCAACCCAAGCCCAACAGUAAUUUAAUUUACAAAAGUCCAUCAGCUCUUAUUAGCCCAAGUAAUUGUUUAAGCCCAACUGUAAUUACCCAUUAUUCUUUAAUAAAUAAAAUCUAAUCUAAACAAAUUAAUCACCCUUUUCCUUUUCUUCUACGCAAUAGCAUCACUCUCUCCCUCUCUCUGCGUUCUCUCCUUUUUAUUUCUACUGGCGCUCUCUCGCUCUUUCCCCCUCCGGCAGAUGUCGCCGGUCCUCCCCGCCUCCGACGCGGCGAGGCCGGCCCUCUCCUUCCCCCCCAUCCUUUUCUUUCUUCCCUACUUCCUUCCCAAUUUCUAAAAUCCCCAAAUUAUAGGGUUUGCUGCCUUCCUUUUUCCCUCUGAAAUUCGCCCCUCCGGCGAGGCCCGCCACUGCCGCCGCUGUCUCUGUGGCACCACCGCCACCUCUGUCUCAGGUAAUCUAUCUUCCUCCCUCUCUCACGAUCGAUCUCUCUCUGUCCUCUCUCUCUGCUCUCUCUCUCUCGAUCUUCCCCUCUGCCCUCUUGCUUGCGGCGGCCGCGGCAGCGGCAGCGCAUGCAGCGCCGGCGGUCGCCGCCGCUCUGCUCUUCUCUCCCUGCCUCUAUCUCGCUCUACUUUCUCUCAUGUCCGUGUCUCUCUGUCUCUGUCUUACUCUCUGUUUCUCUCCCUCGCUCAAACUCUCUCUGCUACUGGCGGCCACCGCGGACCGCCGUGGCGCAGGCAACGCCGGCAGUCGCGCCUUUGCCGCGGUGGCUCGCGGCUGCUGCUAUCGCUUGCCUCUUCUUCCUCCUCUGUUUCUGUUUCUCUUACUUUCUUUCUUUUCUAGUUUAAUAGCUUGUUUAGCAAAUCCCUAACUAUUUCCUUAUCUCAGGAAUCGAUGAUGAUUCAACUCCGGCGAGGCAGCCCGCCUCCUGAUCAAUGCUCAAGAUUCUAUUUUUUCUACCUUUCUUAUUGUAAAUUUAUGUUCUUUCAUUGAUUGAUUAUUGAAAAACUGAAGCUGUAAUGGUUGGGAAAUCGUGCUGUGCUUAUAGAAAUUAGAGUUAGAGAUAUCUCUGUUUGUGCUUAACUGGUGUAGCUAUGUCUGUUUUCACUGCUUUUCUUUACAUACUGAAUAUACUGUAUUGAAUAAGAAAGACUACCUUCUUUGAUGUCUGCUGUGGAGGAUGUGUGUUUGAAUGGAUGAUUGCUGCGUGUUUUAGAUUUGCAGAAUGGAAACGAAACGGAAUUACUGAGGCUACUCAAGAUAUACUGGUUUGAGUCGGUUGAUGUGAAGCAGCUGCGUAAAAGUUACAAGCUACGCGUCCUUCUGUUAGCUAAUCUGACUUAACAACUCUAAUUAAUGUCUUAAAUCUAAUUAAAAGUUAAUUGCUUUACUAAUGAUAUAAAGGAUUGGACUUGGAC
rnacentral:lncRNA from 1 species